AGCGUUUGUUUUUGAAUUCGACAUGUGUAAUUUAUUCUUCAUAUAUUUUAAGGAAAUCGCCCCUGAAAUAGGAAAUCUGUGACGAACAGGUGCCUUGAGUAAGACCUGGCGCUACAAAAGUACGUAUAAUAGGAUCCAGCAUAAAAACCCGACUCUGCACUCCGGCGCUAGUUCCAGUAAGAACACACAAGCCUAUAUUGGUAUUGAUUGCAUCCAAAGCUUGAGCUGGACCGCGAGUACGACUCGGUUAGCCUGCAAAUCAUGGCUGGAGCUCCUGAAGAACACACGAGGAGAACGAGGCAGCUGGAGUUGUCCAAUCCAUCGUGCACAACGAUCAUCGACGGUUCAGUUGAACGGCAUCGAUUCAACGUAGAGUUCCAAUCCAUUUGUACAAUACAUACGUAAAGAGAACAGAACAUAGCGCAAGAAGCCAAAUAAGUGGACAUGCCGUGCGGUAGUAGUGUGGCAAAGGCUGUUCUCGAGGAAAAUAAGAAAAGCACUGAUGGGAAGAAAGCCUCUGGGAACGACGACGAACGCAAUGCGGAGGAAAACAAAGUCAGAACCUCACAUACAACUGUUCUCGAUUUAAACGACGAUUGCUGGAUAGUGCUAAUGGAGUAUCUGGACGUAGGAGACCAGCUAAGGCUCCCAUCAUCGAACGUGUGUAUCGGAAACAUGUUCAGGAGAUAUUCAAGCCACCGGUACAAGCAUUGAAAA